GAAGAUGCAUGAGGCAUCCCUGGAGAAUGGAGAUGAAUGAGGAAGUGCUAAGAUAGUGAGAGAUGAGAUUCCAACCUGGGUCCAGGACCAAGAAAGAUGUUACGAAGUGGUAUGUCAAAACAAAAGCUAAUGUUUCCAUUCAGAUUAUGCAGUUUAGAAGGGAGGAGCUUGGUGGUGCUGGAGUUAAGGAGUACAGCUGGUGGUGGGUUAGGAUAGUGUCGGUCGUUGUUUUCAC